UUUAGGCUGAUCCAAGCUUUAUAUGUUCUCAUGGAAAAAUAAAAAAAUAUUGUAGGUAAGCUGUUUUGGAGGUGAUGGUCAAUCAGAUACUGGAGAUUACUGGCGGAUUGAGAUUGAAGGGAAUGGGAAGACAUGGAGACAAGACCAAAGAAUAAGACUUAAACAUGUUGAUACUGGGGGCUAUUUACACAGCCAUGACAAGAAGUAUACCAGAAUUGCUGGAGGGCAGCAAGAGGUUUGCGGCAUCAGAGAAAAGAAACCGGACAACGUUUGGUUGGCGGCAGAAGGCGUCUACCUUCCAGUUUCUGCAAAAUAACAGCGUAUAUUUUCAAAGCUCUGAGCUUAUUUACAUAGUUAGAGUUGUAGAAUAUGUUCUGCUAUACUAUUGUUUUCUGCUGCAAUUCCAAAUUCUGCAAUAUUUUUUUGUUGGGGAGCAGAUUUAACUAUUCAUGCAACCGAACAGCUGUUCUAUCAAUUUAGUGAACUUUUCCUUCAGGUGA